rnacentral:sRNA from 1 species
CACACCUUUCCAAGGACCCCCAAACUCUGCUCUGUGCACGUCAAAUGCUCCUUUCCCUUGUGUCCAACCCCCUACCCCUCUCCCUAACUCCCCUCUUCUCAACAAGACUCAGCCUCUCCCCGAGGUGGGUGAGCAUCCUUGAGGUUUCCUACCCUUAACUGCUGUGUCCCCGGAUGGAGCCAGAGAAAUGUGGUGGGGGGGCCGGGGCCAGAGUUUCAACAUUGCCCCCCAGAAGGAGGAGCCAGAGAUGGGGUCUGUCCAGGAAAACAGGAUGCCGGAGCCCAGGAGUCGUCAGCCUAGCAGUUGCCUGGCCUCCAGAUGCCUCCCAGGGGAGCAGAUCCUAGCAUGGGCCCCAGGGGUGAGGAAGGGCCUGGAACCGGAAUUGUCUGGAACCCUGAUCUGUACCAACUUUAGGGUCACCUUCCAGCCCUGUGGAUGGCAGUGGAAUCAGGACACUCCCUUGAGCAGUGAAUACGAUUUUGCCCUGGUCAACAUUGGGCGAUUAGAGGCUGUGAGCGGCUUGUCCCGAGUCCAGCUCCUCCGUCCAGGGUCCCUGCUUAAAUUUAUCCCUGAGGAGAUUCUGCUUCAUGGCCGAGACUUCCGGCUGCUCAGAGUUGGUUUUGAGGCUGGAGGCCUAGAGCCUCAGGCUUUUCAGGUGACCAUGGCCAUUGUCCAAGCCAGAGCUCAGAGCAAUCAAGCCCAACAGUAUUCGGGGAUAACCCUGAGCAAGGCUGGCCAGGGUUCUGGCUCCAGAAAACCACCAAUUCCUCUCAUGGAGACAGCGGAAGACUGGGAGACUGAGCGGAAGAAGCAGGCAGCCAGAGGCUGGAGGGUCAGCACGGUCAACGAGAGGUUCGACGUAGCCACCAGGCUCCGGUGUUUCUCCUCUUCCUUGAUUGUGUCUGGCAGCUCCUCCAGCAGUUUCCAGCUGAUUUUGAAUUCUCUGAGUUUUUCCUUCUUGCUCUUCAUGACAGUGUCAGGGUUCCUGACACCCUUACCUUCCUGAGAAAUACCCCCUGGGAGCGCGGAAAGCAGAGCGGACAGGUCAGUGACUUCUAUUUUUGACUCGUGUUUUUUAUUCCAUUGAGAUGUACUCUCUGAAGUUUGGUCUUGAUUUGUUUUAUGAGAAGUGAGGUCUGUGAGUGGGGAGGGGGAAAUUGAUUCUCAUUUUCAGGACGAGGCUUUUGUCCUACAUCUUUCCUGGAAUAAGAGGUGAGAAUCUCAUGAUUUGUCUCUAGAUGUGGGAGGAUUGUGUGUAACCAUCCUUUUUCUUGCUUCCUCUGUCCAGUUAAACUCCUAUACACAAGUCUACACCCCAGGAUACUCCCAGCCCCCAGCUGGGAACUCUUUUAACCUGCAGCUGUCUGUCUGGGACUGGGAUUUACGCUAUAGCAAUGCACAGAUACUACAAUUCCAGAAUCCUGGCUAUGACCCAGAACACUGUCCAGAUUCCUGGCUCCCUAGACCGCAGCCAAGCUUCAUGGUUCCUGGACCCCCCAGUUCUGUGUGGCUCUUCUCUAGAGGAGCAUUGACCCCCCUGAAUCAGCUCUGUCCUUGGCGGGACAGUCCCUCCCUGCUGGCAGUCUCUUCUCGUUGGCUCCCUCGACCUGCUAUCUCCUCUGAAAGCCUGGCUGACCAGGAAUGGGGUCUCCCCUCACAUUGGGGAGCUUGCCCUUUACCUCCAGGGCUGCUGCUGCCUGGGUAUCUGGGACCCCAGAUCAGGCUCUGGAGACGCUGCUACUUGAGGGGAAGGCCUGAGGUCCAGGUAAGAAGGGAAAAUAGACUGGGAGUGGGAGAAGGGACUUGGCUCUGCUGAACCAGAUGUACAGGAGCUGUAAAGGCAAGGAGCUGAAGGCUGAGGGUCUGGGAGGUGAAGUUCUACUCCUCUUGGCAUCAAACAAGGUUUGGGAGUGUAGGAGGUGCGGGAAAGUGCUUGUGGCUUAGAUUAAGUGGAAUUUAGGGCAUAGCUGGAAGGGGAAACAGAAUUAAAGACACCAGAAGUAGCAGAGAAGCAGGGGGCCAGAGCUACAACAGUAUUCCUCUCUGUUCCUCUUUGCCUCCUCCCCAGAUGGGCCUCUCAGCUCCCACAAUCUCUGGCCUCCAGGAUGAGCUAUCCCAUCUUCAGGAGUUAUUACGGAAAUGGACACCAAGAAUAUCUCCUGAAGAUCACUCCAAGGAAAGAGAUCCACAUACCAUUCUCAAUCCCACUGAAAUUGCUGGCAUUCUCAAAGGCAGGGCAGAGGGGGAUCUGGGGUAGAGGAGGGUUCUGUCUUUUUUUUUUUUGUAUCUGGACUUGCAGCCUUAGCUUUCACACUUCAGCCCUUAAGUUCACUAAGACGUUCUGAGUUUCUCCUGCAGAUGGUGGUGUUAACUGCUCCAACUCUUGUCUUGCUUAGUUCCUACAAAUAUUUUUGCUUCUUGUCAUUUGAAGGAUUAAGAAACAAAAACAAUCCAGAAAUUGAUCGGUUUUUUUAGGCCAAUUCCAUCCCUUCUGGAUAACCAGAUGUUAAAUCAUGAGAUCAGAGAUGCUGUUCAUCAGUCCCAACAAGAUGGCCUAGAAAUCGCAUUCUCACCUCGCCUUGCUGCUGCUUUAAUUCCAAGUUCUAUUUCUUCCCUUAUAGUUUUCUAUGGGAAUGAGGCUGAUACAGGAAACACCCUGUCUCCUCUGUAUUUUUGUAGUGGAAUUUCUAUUUAAGGGGCUCAUUAAAGCAUAGUAUUUAUACAC